GGGCUAGUAAAGGCAGAGCUGUCACCAUUUCCAGGCUUGAAGGGACAAGGGGAGGGUUUAAGAACAAGCCAUCUUCAAAUGAGCAGCAAUCUUUGGUCAGGGUGUGGUGACCCUGCAGGAGGGAGCCAGGGAACAAAGCCCUGGACCCGUCGCUUCCCUCCUUCCUAGACUCUGCUGGGCUCCCAUAGGCUGAGGCCAACUGGAAACCAGAAAGUGAGGGAACUCACUGACCUGUCCUCAGGCUCAGCCUCCUGGGCAGAGGGCAAGAAGAAGAGAGAAAAAUGGAUCCGGAGGGACAAACAGAUAGUCACUGAAUCAUCACCCACCUUUGUAAACACAGAGAAAUCAGGCCUCAGGUUCUGAGCCUCAGGCAAUACUAUCUUGCUGGAAGGUGCAGUUUAAACAUGAAGACAGAAUGGAGGAGAGAGUUUACUGCUCUCUGACCUUGGCUGUGUGUUUUUCUUCAUCUCCUGUCAAGUUCAGCACCAAGAACAAUCACCGAUCAGCUGGAACAUGAGAAUGCAAAGGCCAGGCGACGAUGAGGUAACUCCGAGGGUGGCUGCCAACUACCAAGGUUACGUGCUUGCCAAACAACAUCCAGGGAAGAAAGAAUGCCUGAUCCUGAGAUGAUCUAAUGAUAGCCCUGGGCUUUAUAUUAUAAACCAAUCUCUAAGGCUAGAGAAAGACAUGGACUGGCUGUCUUAGGCCUGGGAUAUCCCAGUGAAUGACUAUGACAACAGGUAUGGGAAUUUUUUUUUAUUUUUUUAAUUUAAUUUUUUUUUUUUUUUUUUUUUUGCUUAGACCAAUCUGAGCCACCUUUGAAGCUGGAGGGCCAGUUUUUGUAAAUCAUG
rnacentral:lncRNA from 1 species